CCUACGGGAGGCAGCAGUGGGGGAUAUUGCACAAUGGGGGAAACCCUGAUGCAGCGACGCCGCGUGGGCGAAGAAGUAUUUCGGUAUGUAAAGCCCUAUCAGCAGGGAAGAUGAAAUGACGGUACCUGAGGAAGAAGCAACGGCUAAAUACGUACCAGCAGCCGCGGUAAUACGGAUGGUGCAAGCGUUAUCCGGAUUUACUGGGGGUAAAGGGAGCGCAGGCGGCACGGCAAGCCUGAUGUGAAAGCCCGGGGCACAACCGCGGGACUGCAUUGGGAACUAGCCGUCUGGAGUGCCGGAGAGGUAGGCGGAAUUCGUAGUGUAGCGGUGAAAUGCGUAGAUAUUAGGCGGAACACCAGUGGCGAAGGCAGCCUACUGGACGGUGACUGACGCUGAGGCUCGAAAGCGUGGGGAGCAAACAGGAUUAGAUACCCGAGUAGUC
rnacentral:rRNA from 1 species